GUUCGGAAGGGAUAACCGCUGAAGGCAUCUAAGCGGGAAGCCUGUUCCUAGAUGAGGUCUCCCACCCCUUUGUGGGUUAAGGCUCCCAGUAGACCACUGGGUUGAUAGGCCAGACAUGGACGCACGGUAACGUGUUUUUGAGUGGACUGGUACUAAUCGGCCGAGGACUUGCCCACAA
rnacentral:rRNA from 1 species